AUUUGGGGACAAGCAUUUGGGCACACUCGCUACAAGAUUGGUUAGUGAUUAUGGAUGAUGAAGUCUGUCGGAAAAUUCAGAUCUUGAUUGUCCACCUGGGCUUGCGAAGGCACAGAUUCCCCGUCCACAGCUCACGACCAGAUGCACCAGCAGGAGUCCACAUCGAGGACGUCCUCCGGGCACUCCCACGACCAGAUAAGGAAACUGAGGCACAGUUCAGUCAAAGCACAUGUCCUGGUCACACAGCUAGGGAGGUGCAAGCCUGCCCGCCCAGAGCCCAUCUUCACUCCGGCUUUGUGCCGUGGGACUGCUGGCCUCGCCGACCUCUUGCUUUAUCGACACAGUGACCAGGAGUUAAACUUUGGGAUGUGCCCGUGAUGUUGGACCACAAGGACUUAGAGGCCGAAAUCCACCCCUUGAAAAAUGAAGAAAGAAAAUCGCAGGAAAAUCUGGGAAAUCCAUCAAAAAAUGAGGAUAACGUGAAAAGCGCGCCUCCACAGUCCCGGCUCUCCCGGUGCCGAGCGGCGGCGUUUUUUCUUUCAUUGUUUCUCUGCCUUUUUGUGGUGUUCGUCGUCUCAUUCGU
rnacentral:lncRNA from 1 species